ACUGAACGCUGGCGGCAGGCUUAACACAUGCAAGUCGAGCGGAGAGAGGUAGCUUGCUACCGAUCUUAGCGGCGGACGGGUGAGUAAUGCUUAGGAAUCUGCCUAUUAGUGGGGGACAACAUUUCGAAAGGAAUGCUAAUACCGCAUACGUCCUACGGGAGAAAGCAGGGGAUCUUCGGACCUUGCGCUAAUAGAUGAGCCUAAGUCGGAUUAGCUAGUUGGUGGGGUAAAGGCCUACCAAGGCGACGAUCUGUAGCGGGUCUGAGAGGAUGAUCCGCCACACUGGGACUGAGACACGGCCCAGACUCCUACGGGAGGCAGCAGUGGGGAAUAUUGGACAAUGGGCGCAAGCCUGAUCCAGCCAUGCCGCGUGUGUGAAGAAGGCCUUAUGGUUGUAAAGCACUUUAAGCGAGGAGGAGGCUACUUUAGUUAAUACCUAGAGAUAGUGGACGUUACUCGCAGAAUAAGCACCGGCUAACUCUGUGCCAGCCGCCGCAGUAAUAC
rnacentral:rRNA from 1 species